GGAAUAUUGGACAAUGGGCGCAAGCCUGAUCCAGCAAUGCCGCGUGUGUGAAGAAGGCCUUCGGGUUGUAAAGCACUUUUAUCUGGAACGAAACACGCAAGGUUAAUACCUUUGCGGACUGACGGUACCAGAGGAAUAAGCACCGGCUAACUUCGUGCCAGCAGCCGCGGUAAUACGAAGGGUGCAAGCGUUACUCGGAAUUACUGGGCGUAAAGCGUGAGUAGGUGGUUUCUUAAGUCUGCUGUGAAAGCCCCGGGCUCAACCUGGGAAUUGCAGUGGAUACUGGGAAGCUAGAGUGCGGUAGAGGGUAGUGGAAUUCCCGGUGUAGCGGUGAAAUGCGUAGAGAUCGGGAGGAACACCAGUGGCGAAGGCGGCUACCUGGACCAGCACUGACACUGAGUCACGAAAGCGUGGGGAGCAAACA
rnacentral:rRNA from 1 species